UGUCAUAAGUCCUAUAGAUGGGAAGUCCAUGGAGACUAUAACAAAUGUGAAGAUAUUCCAUGGAUCAGAAUAUAAAGCAAAUGGAAAAGUAAUCAGAUGGACAGAGGUGUUUUUCCUAGAAAACGAUGACCAGCACAAUUGCCUCAGUGAUCCUGCAGAUCACAGUAGAUUGACUGAGCAUGUUGCCAAAGCUUUUUGCCUUGCUCUCUGUCCUCACCUGAAGCUUCUGAAGGAAGAUGGAAUGACCAAACUGGGACUACGUGUGACACUUGACUCAGAUCAGGUAUGAUGUGUCUUCCACAGCUUUUAAAGCUGGCCUUGG
rnacentral:lncRNA from 1 species